GUAUCUCACUGUUUCAGCUUGGUUUCACUCAGGAGAAGAAGGUAUUACCAGUAUGCAGAUCUGCAGGGAUGCAUGUUUUUUUUUUUUAACAAUAUGGCUCGUUUACCUUACAUUUGAGGUUGAAACUUUUCAAGGGAUAUCCUGUGGCUCCCCUGGCGAAGUGAUGAAUGGCAGGUAUGACCUCACAGAGGGGGUGGAGUUUGGAGCCAGAGUAACAGCCCAGUGUGACAAAGGGUCAGUAGUACACACUCACAGAACAGGACCUUCUCACCAACAUUACAUUGUAGGUUCCAAAGUACGGAAUUGCAUGGCAGCAGGGUGGUCUGGCAGAGUGGUGAAGUGUGGAGCGCCUCCUGUUGUUGCCAAUGGAAGUCUGUUGUACAGAGCUGAAGAGUCGUAUGCCUACAGAGAGGUGGUGGAGUAUCAGUGUGACAGGCAACUGACUCUGGAUGGACCCAGGUUCUUACACUGCUCUGAAACAGGACAGUUUGAGCCAAAUCCACCUAAAUGUAUCGACAUAACUUGUCCAACACCUAACAUCGAUAAAGCUUUCCGCGUAGAGGGACAUAUGCCUCCAUACAAAUACAUGUCUUUCAUCAGAUAUGAAUGUGAAAAAGGAUAUGAAAUGGAAGGUGAAUCAGGUCUUGCCUGUGAAAUAGACAGCCGCUGGUCAGCACCAUACCCAACAUGCAAAGCACUUGCUGACCGGAUGUUCGACAUAAUGGUUUCAUAUCAUAUAAUUGUUUCAAGAAUGGUGGAUAUUUAUUCAGAAUUAGCAUCGUCUUACAAUGAAAGCAGAGAGAACAGGACCUUUAACUAGUUACCUGUUCCAAGACAUGGAAGGAGGAGAUGCGGUCUGCUCUGCUGUUAUAGCAAGACACCCGACGAACAUCUGAAAAACUCAUUUCUAUCACAACUUAUGUUUGUAUUAUAGUGUCAAAAGACAGCAACCCUGAAGCUGAAAAUGUUUUUUUUUCCAAGAUUGGAGAUGAAAUCAAAGGUGGACUCAGUAAGUCAUUGGGUGGUUUAUAAGUAACUAUUUGCAUAGCUGUAUGCACAACUGUUUUCAAGUUAUCUCUGUAGAUUAUUUUUGUAAGUUAUCUCUGUAUGUUAUCUCUGUAGGUAUUCUCUGUAGGUAUUCACUGUAGGUUAUCACUGUAGGUAUUAUCUGUAGGUAUUCACUGUAGGUUAUCACUGUAGGUAUUCUAUAUAGGUUUAUCACUGUAGGUUAUCACUGUAAGUUAUCUCUGUAUGUUAUCUCUGUAGAUAUUCUCUGUAGGUAUUCACUGUAGGUUAUCACUGUAGGUAUUCACUGUAGGUUAUCACUGUAGGUUUUCACUGUAGGUUAUCACUGUAGGUUUUCACUGUAGGUUAUCACUGUAGGUUUUCACUGUAGGUCAUCACUGUAGGUUAUCACUGUAGGUUAUCACUGUAGGUUAUCACUGUAGGUAUUCUCUGUAGGUUUUCUCUGUAGGUUUUCUCUGUAGGUAUUCUCUGUAGGUUUUCUCUGUAGGCUUUCUCUGUAGGUAUUCUCUGUAGAUUUUCUCUGUAGGUUUUCUCUGUAGGUUUUCUCUGUAGGUAUUCUCUGUAGAUUUUCUCUGUAGGUUUUCUCUGUAGGUUUUCUCUGUAGGUAUUCUCUGUAGAUUUUCUCUGUAGGUUUUCUCUGUAGGUUUUCACUGUAGGUUUUCUCUGUAGGCUUUCUCUGUAGGUAUUCUCUGUAGGUAUUCUCUGUAGGUUUUCUCUGUAGGUUUUCUCUGUAGGUUUUCUCUGUAGGUAUUCUCUGUAGGUAUUCUCUGUAGGUUUUCUCUGUAGGUUUUCUCUGUAGGUAUUCUCUGUAGGUAUUCUCUGUAGGUUUUCUCUGUAGGUUUUCACUGUAGGUUUUCUCUGUAGGCUUUCUCUGUAGGUAUUCUCUGUAGGUUAUUUCUGUGGGUUUUCUCUCUAGGGUUCUCUCUAGGUUAUCACUGUAGGUAUUCUCUGUAGAUUUUCACUGUAGGUUAUUUCUGUGGGUUUUCUCUCUAGGGUUCUCUCUAGGUUAUCACUGUAGGUAUUCUCUGUAGAUUUUCACUGUAGGUUAUUUCUGUGGGUUUUCUCUCUAGGUUUUCUCUCUAGGUUAUCACUGUAGGUAUUCUCUGUAGAUUUUCACUGUAGGUUAUUUCUUUAUGUUAUAUAUGUAGGUUAUCUUUGUAGCCUGCACUUAUAUUGUGCUGUGAAGCCUAGUGGUUCAUUCAGAUUAUUCAAUUGUUUUGUAUUGUUUUGUUUUUCAUUCUAUUGAGGUGUAAUUUUUAUGGUUUCAAUCCAACUUUUUACAUUCCGCAACUUCCUUUUUUUCAGACACAUUUAUUAACUGGGUUUCCAAAAAAAUCCCGGAGGUAGAACUCAAGCUCCCCUGGAUGAGGAAAUGACAGAUUUAAACUAAAAAAUUAUUCAACUCAUCACAUUUGGAAGGACUUUCAGGACAUCAAAAUGAACCUUUACACAUGUAGCCUUUACAGUAGUAACAAUACAUGUCUUCUGAAAAGUA